AAACUGAAGAGUUUGAUCAUGGCUCAGAUUGAACGCUGGCGGCAGGCUUAACACAUGCAAGUCGAGCGGUUUAAAGUACUUGUACUUUAGAUAGCGGCGAACGGGUGAGUAAUGCCUAGGAAUCUGCCUGAUAGUG
rnacentral:rRNA from 1 species